AAUCCAUGGUGAGGACACCUUUGCAAUAGGUCCUUGUUUCUCUCCCAUGCAUCGUAAAGAGUUUCUAAGUCCCUAUGCACAAACGAAGAGAUAUCAUUACGUAAUU
rfam:Gossypium hirsutum cultivar TM-1 chromosome 11, whole genome shotgun sequence